AGCCAAGCGGGCUAUCUGGCUGUGACAUCUGUAACCCAACUGAUGAACAGCAUCGACUCAGCUGAUAUGGCCAGCUAUGCUGGGGUCUGGUCCUCCCCACUGUUCCAUGUGCAACCUUCUGAAUCUGCUUCAUGCUGGGUCAAAAAGGAUGAUUACCCUGGGAUACAAGAGGACUAGCCUUCAAUCAAGAAUAUAUUAGCAUUUAUGUUUCUCUGGUAUAAGCUCUAAAAUAGCCCCCAAUAUCCAUCAUAAGGCUUUUGAAUGUUCCCACCUUCUACAAUAGAGAAAGAUUUUUGAUUUUUAAAAAAAUUAAUU
rnacentral:snRNA from 1 species